GACGAACGCUGGCGGCGCGCCUAACACAUGCAAGUCGAACGAGCGAGAGAGAGCUUGCUUUCUCGAGCGAGUGGCGAACGGGUGAGUAACGCGUGAGGAACCUGCCUCAAAGAGGGGGACAACAGUUGGAAACGACUGCUAAUACCGCAUAAGCCCACGGUGCCGCAUGGCACAGAGGGAAAAGGAGUAAUCCGCUUUGAGAUGGCCUCGCGUCCGAUUAGCUAGUUGGUGAGGUAACGGCCCACCAAGGCGACGAUCGGUAGCCGGACUGAGAGGUUGAACGGCCACAUUGGGACUGAGACACGGCCCAGACUCCUACGGGAGGCAGCAGUGGGGAAUAUUGCACAAUGGGGGAAACCCUGAUGCAGCGACGCCGCGUGGAGGAAGAAGGUCUUCGGAUUGUAAACUCCUGUUGUUGGGGAAGAUAAUGACGGUACCCAACAAGGAAGUGACGGCUAACUACGUGCCAGCAGCCGCGGUAAAACGUAGGUCACAAGCGUUGUCCGGAAUUACUGGGUGUAAAGGGAGCGCAGGCGGGAAGACAAGUUGGAAGUGAAAUCUAUGGGCUCAACCCAUAAACUGCUUUCAAAACUGUUUUUCUUGAGUAGUGCAGAGGUAGGCGGAAUUCCCGGUGUAGCGGUGGAAUGCGUAGAUAUCGGGAGGAACACCAGUGGCGAAGGCGGCCUACUGGGCACCAACUGACGCUGAGGCUCGAAAGUGUGGGUAGCAAACAGGAUUAGAUACCCUGGUAGUCCACACCGUAAACGAUGAUUACUAGGUGUUGGAGGAUGGACCCCCUCAGUGCCGCAGUUAACACAAUAAGUAAUCCACCUGGGGAGUACGACCGCAAGGUUGAAACUCAAAGGAAUUGACGGGGGCCCGCACAAGCAGUGGAGUAUGUGGUUUAAUUAGACGCAACGCGAAGAACCUUACCAAGUCUUGACAUCCCUUGACAGGCAUAGAAAUAUGUUUUCUCUUCGGAGCAAGGAGACAGGUGGUGCAUGGUUGUCGUCAGCUCGUGUCGUGAGAUGUUGGGUUAAGUCCCGCAACGAGCGCAACCCUUAUGGUCAGUUACUACGUAAGAGGACUCUGGCCAGACUGCCGUUGACAAAACGGAGGAAGGUGGGGAGGACGUCAAAUCAUCAUGCCCCCUAUGACUUGGGCUACACACGUACUACAAUGGCGUUAAACAAAGAGAAGCAAGACCGCGAGGUGGAGCAAAACUCAGAAACAACGUCCCAGUUCGGAGUGCAGGCUGCAACUCGCCUGCACGAAGUCGGAAUUGCUAGUAAUCGUGGAUCAGCAUGCCACGGUGAAUAAAUUCCCGGGCCUUGCACA
rnacentral:rRNA from 1 species